rnacentral:misc_RNA from 1 species
ACAAAAUAAGGGUCUACAGGGACCAAAAUGUUGAUUUUAUCAAAAGUCAGGGGCUAAAAAAGAUAAUUCUUAAAAUAUGAGGGUUAAGUCACUAACAACGCUAUAACUUAAGGACUAAAUAUUUAUUUACCCUAAUUAUAACAACAAAAACACACAGACAGACAGACAUAUCCACUAAUUAUGUUUUAUGUAAGUUUUUUGGAAAAAUCAAUUAUAAGUUUGUAAUUUUUA